AAUCGAUAACGAUAACGAUAACGAUAACGAUAACGAUAACGAUCCUCCGUGAUCACCCCCUGGGGGGUGAUCACGGAGGAUCGUUAUCGUUAUCGUUAUUGUUAUCGUUAUCGUUA
rnacentral:pre_miRNA from 1 species